CUCAACAAUGAAUAUCUCGGCUCUCGCAUCGAUGAAGAACGUAGUGAAAUGCGAUACUUGGUGUGAAUUGCAGAAUCCAUGAACCAUCGAGUAUUUGACCGCAAGUAGCUCCCGGAGCCUUCAGGUCGAAGGCAUGUCUUCCUGGGCGUCACG
rnacentral:rRNA from 1 species